UGGAGGGACAACAAUGACGUGGACUAGGCCUCACUCAGAUAGGCUGUUCCACAUUACUAGGUCUCACUUAGAUAGGCUGUUCCACAUUACUAGCUUAACCACCACAUAAGUUAGCUGGAUGAUGAUUUAACAAAAAAUAUGUGCCACGUUUUAAAUCCAUGAAAAUUUUAAACCUUUAAAAAAAAAAAAAAAGAAUAA